rnacentral:rRNA from 1 species
AUACUCCACGAUUAACCUUACCACCCUUUGCCCUCAGCUUAUAUACCGCCGUCUCAAGCUUACCUUAUGAAAGCUAAAAAGUAAGCGAAAUAGCCCCUACAGCUAAAAAGUCAGGUCCAGGUGUAGCCAAUAGGGUGGAUGUAAUGGGCUACAUUUUCUAAAAUAGAAAUAUCUACGGACAGACCCUUGAAACAGGGACUAACAAGUCGGAUUUAGCAGUAAUCUAGGAAUAGAGAGCCUAUAUUAAACCG